rnacentral:rRNA from 1 species
AGUGAACGCUGGCGGUAGGCCUAACACAUGCAAGUCGAACGGCAGCACAGUAAGAGCUUGCUCUUACGGGUGGCGAGUGGCGGACGGGUGAGGAAUACAUCGGAAUCUACUUUUUCGUGGGGGAUAACGUAGGGAAACUUACGCUAAUACCGCAUACGACCUACGGGUGAAAGCGGGGGAUCUUCGGACCUUGCGCGAUUGAAUGAGCCGAUGUCGGAUUAGCUAGUUGGCGGGGUAAAGGCCCACCAAGGCGACGAUCCGUAGCUGGUCUGAGAGGAUGAUCGGCCACACUGGAACUGAGACACGGUCCAGACUCCUACGGGAGGCAGCAGUGGGGAAUAUUGGACAAUGGGCGCAAGCCUGAUCCAGCCAUACCGCGUGGGUGAAGAAGGCCUUCGGGUUGUAAAGCCCUUUUGUUGGGAAAGAAAAGCAGCAGGUUAAUACCCCGCUGUUCUGACGGUACCCAAAGAAUAAGCACCGGCUAACUUCGUG